rnacentral:rRNA from 1 species
AACCAAAACAACUCUCGGCAAUUGAUAUCUCGACUCUUGCAUCGAUGAAGAACAUAGAAAAAUGUGAUACUUGGUAUGAAUUGUAGAAUCCCAUGAACCAUCGAGUCUCUGAACAUAAGUUGCACCCAAAGCCAUCAGGCCAAGGGUAUGUCUGCCUCCGGAUCACGCAUC